UUCUGUUCACUCAAAGACUCUCCAUUCAUAGAGAACUCUAGGAUGAACAGAAAAUUCCACAGUAAACACAUUCAUAAGACAGGCCUGUUAAAUAGAUGCACACGUAGAACAAACAGUGUCUAACCUGAAGCUGAAUCCUGGAGGAGUCUGAGUUUGUGAGGAACAGGAAUAUCAAAACAAAUUGGCUUAGACUGACCAACAACAUCCAGCAGGAAACGAUUGACUUCUGGAGAGAGAAUCAAAAUGUCAUGAUUAUUUCCUAGAAUUGGUGCUCAUAAAACAAAUAAUUAAGAAAAUGCUAGUUUUUAUGUACCUUGCACAGCAGGGGAAGUAGUUGUAUACAAAGUAGUUGGAAAAAUUGUAGUUGUGAACAUUGUUUCAGUUUGGGAGAUGUCUAAGACCAACAAACAUGGUAAAGGAUGUAAAUCCACAUAGUGCAGAAGUUUAUUGUUUUUAGUCUUUGUUUUAAAUGUGACGUGUGUAACUGACCGGCACACAGACCCAACAGCAACAUACAAAGUCGACAGUAAAUAUUUUCAACAAAGUAUGGGGAUCUUUAUCAUUGAAAGCCAGUAAUAAAAAACGAAUUAUUAUGA